UACGUAGGGGGCGAGCGUUAUCCGGAAUUAUUGGGCGUAAAGCGUGCGCAGGCGGCGCGUUCUGCCCGGCGUGAAAGCCCCCGGCUCAACCGGGGAGGGUCGUCGGGGACGGGCGCGCUUGAGGGUAUCAGGGGCUGGUGGAAUUCCCGGUGUAGUGGUGAAAUGCGUAGAGAUCGGGAGGAACACCUGUGGCUAAGGCGGCCAGCUGGGAUACACCUGACGCUGAGAUGCGAAAGCGUGGGGAGCAAACAGGAUUAGAUACCUCCGUAGUCCCUGAGCGGG
rnacentral:rRNA from 1 species